rnacentral:rRNA from 1 species
CGAGAGGGGGGCGUUCACCACGGUAUGAUUCAUGACUGGGGUGAAGUCGUAACAAGGUAACCGUAGGGGAACCUGCGGUUGGAUCACCUCCUUACU